ACCCGGUUAGCUAACUCGGUUAAGCAAUCGUCCUGAAAGCGGGAUUUCCCGGGUUCGAGUCCCGGACUGGCUG
rnacentral:tRNA from 1 species